CAAUGGCCCAAGGCCCAAUAAAACCAAAAUCUAGAUUUCCUAAUUUAUUCCUUUCUCUAUCUGUUGUUGAAGCAAACUCACUGUUCCUCCACCUUCCAUUUCCGAUCAUUCUGUCUCAGAAAUUUCCAGCCGGUGUGUCUCUUUUGUCGAUCACUUCUUGAUGCUAUCCGAUGUAGAUGUGGUGUCUCGGUCCCUCCGAUUCUAAAGCUCCAACGGUAACAACCAAACCAUUUACUUGUUCGUCUGUAUGAUGUAACUUUUUGAUAUCUAUGGCAAUACUCUUUAGCUCGUUGUACUGCGUUUAUGUUUUCUUCUUUACCUCUCCUGGUAGCAAUGUGGCAGAUUCUUGUAUUUUGAUGUAGGUAUGCUCUGUAACGAUCUGCAGUAGUCAUGUGCAUUAUUUACUAUCUACAAAUGCUUUUGUUAUUCUCAGUGCUGAAUAUUGAUUUUCCUGGUUCUGAUCCUCAAAGUUGGUAUUUGUGCUUUGUCUA